CUCACCAUACAACAUCCUUUCUUCCCAAAAUCCGACCACGCUAUCGCAACCCCUGCAAAACUCAUUGCUGCUGCCACCAUCAUCUCGGGCGUUCAAAACCUUGUCCGCUGCAACCUACCAUCAUUCAAAACCCGCUACAUCCCGAUUUAAAACCAUAGCCGCAAUUAUUGAAACACCCUACUCACCAACCCAUCAUCCAAACCCAUUUGAACCCACCUGCUGGUCUGGCGAUCAACAUUGCUGGCAUUACAGUCCCUUUUGCCAUUCCCGCACGAGAUUCCCGCUUCGCACAACUCUAACCCUUUCCCUGCCAUUACUCAUAUGGGAAAUGCUGCAGCCAUUGCAACUGCAUUUGGUGGAGGCUUGCCUCCUAGAAAUCAUUCUAAAUGAUUGAUCCAUCAGAACCAUCUAGGAAAUGGUUUGUUUAUGUUUAAAGUGGCU